rnacentral:lncRNA from 1 species
UAUCAAGGUGCCAGCAUCUGGUGAGGGCCUCCAUGCUGUGUCAUCCCAUGGCCAAAGGUGGAAGGGCAAGAGGGCACAAGACAGCAAGGGGAGCCACUGCUGUGUCACAGUGGAAGUGACAGCAGUGACAGGGACCUAGUCUGAUCCACUGGGAUGCAGAUGGAUGGUAGCAUGCUGCAUUAGAAGAGGACACAGAUGCCCCUGCAACUGGAGUCUCCCCAGUGGCUGCUGUCAGCCGGCACGCCCAGCCCCAUCUGGCUCGAGAACUGUCAAAGAUCUCCUACAUCGCACGCCAGCUGAACACGGCCUGCAGACUGAACGUACUGUCCCACACACUUGCACUGCCAUUUUUCAGAUGUCUAAAG